GUAAGGUCUUAUCUUAAUUAAAGUAUCUGAGUUGCAUUCAGGAGAUGUAAAUUAAUAUUUUACAGAUCUUACA
rnacentral:tRNA from 1 species